CGCGUAGGAAUCUACCUAGUAGAAGGGGAUAGCCCGGGGAAACUCGGAUUAAUACCGUAUACCUCCUUCGGGAGAAAGAAGGCCUCUCUUUGAAGCUUUCGCUAUUAGAUGAGCCUGCGUAAGAUUAGCUUGUUGGUGAGGUAAAGGCUCACCAAGGCGACGAUCUUUAGCGGGUCUGAGAGGACGAUCCGCCACAUUGGGACUGAGACACGGCCCAGACUCCUACGGGAGGCAGCAGUGGGGAAUAUUGGACAAUGGGCGCAAGCCUGAUCCAGCCAUACCGCGUGUGUGAAGAAGGCC
rnacentral:rRNA from 1 species